AGUGAACGCUGGCGGUAGGCCUAACACAUGCAAGUCGAACGGCAGCACAGUAAGAGCUUGCUCUUACGGGUGGCGAGUGGCGGACGGGUGAGGAAUACAUCGGAAUCUACUUUUUCGUGGGGGAUAACGUAGGGAAACUUACGCUAAUACCGCAUACGACCUACGGGUGAAAGCAGGGGAUCUUCGGACCUUGCGCGAUUGAAUGAGCCGAUGUCGGAUUAGCUAGUUGGCGGGGUAAAGGCCAACCAAGGCGACGAUCCGUAGCUGGUCUGAGAGGAUGUACAGUCACACUGGAGCUGAGACACGGUCCAGACUCCUACGGGAGGCAGCAGUGGGGAAUAUUGGACGAUGUGCGCAAGCCUGAUCCAGCCAUGCCGCGUGGGUGAAGAAGGCCUUCGGGUUGGAAAGCCCUUUUGUUGGGAAAGAAAAGCAGCAGGUUAAUACCCCGCUGUUCUGACGGUACCCAAAGAGUAAGCACCGGCUAACUUCGU
rnacentral:rRNA from 1 species